GCUUCCUUAGUUCAGCUGGUAGAACUACUGUUUUGUACUCAGUAUGUCAGGGGUUCGAGUCCUCUAGGAAGCUCA
rnacentral:tRNA from 1 species